UAGGGAAUCUUCCGCAAUGGACGCAAGUCUGACGGAGCAACGCCGCGUGAGUGAAGAAGGAUUUCGGUUCGUAAAACUCUGUUGUUAGAGAAGAACAGCGCAUAGAGUAACUGUUAUGCGUGUGACGGUAUCUAACCAGAAAGCCACGGCUAACUACGUGCCAGCAGCCGCGGUAAUACGUAGGUGGCAAGCGUUGUCCGGAUUUAUUGGGCGUAAAGCGAGCUCAGGCGGUCAAUUAAGUCUGAUGUGAAAGCCCCCGGCUCAACCGGGGAGGGUCAUUGGAAACUGGUUGACUUGAGUGCAGAAGAGGAGAGUGGAAUUCCAUGUGUAGCGGUGAAAUGCGUAGAUAUAUGGAGGAACACCAGUGGCGAAGGCGACUCUCUGGUCUGUAACUGACGCUGAGGCUCGAAAGCGUGGGUAGCAAACAGG
rnacentral:rRNA from 1 species